GAAAGCGGAAGCCGCUGCGGGGCUGCACCGUGGUCUGCGGCGCGGCCCUCGCCCAGCUCUCCGCUGGCUGAGUCACGGCCCGCCGGCCGGCCCGGCCUAGUAGGACGCACGCUCGCCGCCCCGCAGCCGCUGCCUCCCGCGCCGGGCGGCCUUCGCCCCUCACCCGAACAGCCGGCACUGAGUCUUCCGCCAUUGCCUUAGCCUACUCUGGCGGCGGGCGAAGACCUCCUUCACUUUUUAUCCCCCUCCUUUCCCAGUUCAUUGUUCGCUUCUGGGGGGGAGGGGCGGGGGACCGUCUGGUGACCCUGUAGGUCGGGCUUGGAGGGCGCCGGGUCUGCGGCAACAGAGUGCCCUCCUCUGGGCGCUGGGCAGCCGGCUGCCUCCGAGGCCCGGGCGGCCUCCGCGGUCUCCAUGGUAACGGCCGCUCUGGCGUCUCCGCCUCGGGGGGAAGAUGCAGCCUGCCGGGCCCGCCAUCUCGCCCCCGGCCUCAUGGCGGGGCCGGGGCCACUGAGGAGGAAGGUCCCGGCCACCGGACUGCGGGGCAGCGGGCACCAGUGAAAUCCCAUUCCCUGCCUGGAGACACAGAUGGCCUCAAAUGAGAGAGAUGCUAUAUCGUGGUACCAAAAGAAGAUUGGAGCAUAUGAUCAGCAGAUCUGGGAAAAGUCAAUCGAACAGACUCAGAUUAAGGGCUUCAAAAACAAACCAAAAAAGAUGGGCCACAUAAAACCAGACUUGAUUGACGUUGACUUAAUCAGAGGCUCAACAUUUGCCAAAGCCAAACCUGAAAUUCCAUGGACAUCUCUGACUCGGAAGGGGCUUGUAAGAGUUGUGUUUUUCCCCUUGUUCAGCAACUGGUGGAUUCAGGUGACCUCUUUAAGAAUCUUUGUUUGGCUGCUACUGCUUUACCUCAUGCAAGUUCUAGCACUCGUGUUGUAUUUUAUGAUGCCUAUUGUGAAUGUAAGUGAAGUGCUUGGACCCUUGUGCCUUAUGUUACUCAUGGGAACUGUCCACUGUCAGAUCGUGUCUACUCAGAUAACAAGGCCAUCGGGAAACAAUGGAAAUCGGAGAAGAAGAAAAUUACGGAAAACUGUCAACAGUGAUGGGAGCCGAGAAAAUGGAAAUAACUCCUCCGAUAAAGUCAGAGGAGUAGAAACUUUGGAGUCUAUUCCCUUUAUUGGCGGUUUUUGGGAGACUCUCUUUGGGAACAGGAGUAAAAGAGUAAAACUAAUCAGUAACAAAGGGACUGAAACGGACAAUGACUCAAGUUGUCUGCAUCCUAUCAUUAAGAAGAGACAGUGUCGACCAGAGAUUAAAAUGUGGCAAACAAGGGAGAAAGCAAAAUUUUCAGAUGGAGAAAAGUGCCACAGGGAGGCUUUCAGGCGACUGGGGAAUGGGAUUUCGGAUGAUCUGUCCAGUGAGGAGGACGGUGAAGCCCGGACACAGAUGAUGAUGCUACGUAGGAGUGUGGAAGGGGCCUCAAGUGACAACGGCUGUGAAGUGAAGAAUAGAAAAUCCAUACUUACCAGGCACCUCAACACUCAGGUAAAGAAAAGCACUCCCAAGUGGUGUCACACGGCUCGGGAUUCGGAUAGUCUGGCAGAAUCAGAAUUUGAAUCGGCAGCCUUCAGUCAGGGCUCGAGGUCGGGCAUGAGUGGUGGCUCCCGAAGCCUCCACAUGUCGAGAAGAGACUCAGAGAGCACCCGCCAUGACUCGGAGACUGAGGAUAUGCUAUGGGAUGACCUGCUGCAUGGCCCAGAGUGUCGAUCGUCUGUCACCAGUGACAGUGAGGGGGCCCAUGUGAAUACCCUUCACUCAGGGACCAAACGUGACCCCAAAGAAGAUGUUUUUCAGCAGAACCACUUAUUCUGGCUUCAGAACUCAAGUCCUGCCUCUGAUCGAGUUAGUGCAAUAAUCUGGGAAGGGAAUGAGUGCAAAAAGAUGGAUAUGUCUGUGUUGGAAAUAAGUGGCAUCAUCAUGAGCAGGGUGAAUGCAUAUCAGCAAGGAGUAGGUUAUCAGAUGCUGGGAAAUGUCGUCACCAUUGGAUUAGCAUUUUUUCCUUUCUUACAUCGACUUUUCCGUGACAAGAGCCUUGACCAGCUAAAAUCCAUUUCAGCUGAGGAGAUCAUGACUCUUUUUUGUGGGGCACCACCUGUUACACCUAUCAUUAUUUUGUCUAUGAUUAAUUUUUUUGAAAGAUUGUGUCUUACUUGGAUUUUUUUUUUCAUGAUGUGUGUGGCAGAGAGAACGUAUAAACAGAGAUUUUUAUUUGCAAAACUCUUCAGCCAUAUUACUUCUGCCAGGAAAGCUAGGAAAUACGAAAUACCUCAUUUCAGACUUAAAAAAGUGGAGAACAUUAAGAUAUGGUUAUCACUGCGUUCCUUUCUAAAGAGACGGGGUCCGCAGCGUUCAGUUGAUGUGGUUGUAUCUUCAGUCUUCUUGCUGACUCUUUCAAUUGCUUUCAUUUGCUGUGCCCAGGUUCUCCAAGGGCAUAAAACUUUCCUGAAUGAUGCUUAUAAUUGGGAAUUUUUGAUCUGGGAAACAGCUUUACUACUUUUCUUGCUGCGUCUUGCUUCACUGGGGUCUGAAACCAAUAAGAAAUACAGCAAUGUUUCAAUAUUACUUACUGAGCAGAUUAAUUUGUAUCUUAAGAUGGAGAAAAAGCCGAAUAAGAAAGAACAGCUUACUCUAGUAAAUAAUGUAUUAAAGCUGUCUACCAAGUUAUUGAAAGAGUUGGACACACCAUUUAGACUCUAUGGACUGACAAUGAAUCCCUUAAUCUACAAUAUCACACGAGUCGUUAUCCUUUCUGCUGUCUCAGGUGUUAUAAGUGAUCUUCUAGGAUUUAAUAUAAGACUGUGGAAAAUUAAGUCAUAAGCUGAGCCAUGUGCCUGGACUCUCCCCUUGCUGGCAUCAGUACUGGCCCAUUAAGGAAGGAGAGGACUUUCAGAAACCAUGAGACACCUACCUGCUUGUUCACACACAGAGGUUAAUGCUGGCCUUGUAGAAUGAAUUUGGAAGCAUUCCUUCUUCUUCAACUUUUUUGGAAGAGUUGGAGGUGAUUGGUAUCCAUCUUGAAUAAGGAAGUUUGAAUUUCACAAAUGUGCAAUAAUUCCAUACCUUCCCUGCAGCAUGCCUGAGCAUAUAAGCUGUAGUAAGGUAUUACUCAAGGUCACAGCCGUUUCUCAGCCACACCGGUAGUGCCUGCGGCUUUGUGUGCACUUGGAACCUUCCAGGGCCCCGGAGUUAUGGGUGUUUUCUUAACGGGAGAAGCGCUCUCAGGCACACCAUCCUUUAAUUCCUCUGUCUUUUCAUAUAUCUGAACUCUCAUCAAAGAUUCUUCAAUUACUGGUGCGGGAAACUCCUCAAAUACGGAAGCAGAAUGGAAAGGUGGGGGAAAUGGUGGCUGCUCGUCAUAAAUCACAUUUGAAGACGAAGGAGUAUUAACAUCCCAAUCACCUGCAAAGAGGGAUUUGAGUGGGACAUUAUUACAUUUUAGAAUUAUAAAGAGGAACUGUAAGUUUUGAACUCUGACAGCCCUUUGAAUUGGACUAACUGCUCAAACAGUCUGAGUAUAUACGCUGAGCGCACCCGAUAAAGGCGGGCCGUAUACACAGACAAGCAUGCAGACAGCUGCGCUUGUACACGAGGUGGUUGUACUCGUAGGCUGUUUAAA